rnacentral:rRNA from 1 species
GCAAGAUUAAAACUCAAAGGAAUAGACGGGGACCCGCACAAGUGGUGGAGCAUGUGGUUUAAUUCGAAGAUACGCGAAGAACCUUACCUAGCCUUGACAUAUUUUAGAACUCACCAGAGAUGGAGAGGUGCCUUCGGGAGCUAAUUUACAGGUGCUGCACGGCUGUCGUCAGCUCGUGUCGUGAGAUGUUGGGUUAAGUCCCGCAACGAGCGCAACCCUCGUCACUAGUUACUAACGGUUCGGCCGAGGACUCUAGUGAGACUGCCUUCGUAAGGAGGAGGAAGGUGAGGACGACGUCAAGUCAUCAUGGCCCUUACGGCUAGGGCAACACACGUGCUACAAUGGUUGGGACAGUGAGACGCGAUACCGCGAGGUGGAGCAAAUCUAUAAACCCAAUCUCAGUUCGGAUUGUAGUCUGCAACUCGACUACAUGAAGCUGGAAUCACUAGUAAUCGUAGAUCAGCUAUGCUACGGUGAAUACGUUCCCGGGUCUUGUACUCACCGCCCGUCACACCAUGGGAGUUGAUUUCACCCGAAGCGGGGAAGCUAAACUGGCUACCCUCCACGGUGGAAUUAGCGACUGGGGUGAAGUCGUAACAAGGUA